CUCUUAAUCUCCUACGCAAGUGAUUGGUAGGAAUUCAUCCUCUUAUGAGAUUGUCUGGUUAGGCUUUUGCUGAGAAUGGAUACUAUUGAAUGUAGGGCACAGAUUUGUAUUCUGGAGCAGAUCACAGUAAAACUGUGCCAAAAUUCUAAAAAGAGGAACUCCAUAAUAAAGAAAAAGCAAAAUAUAAGAACCAUACCAAGAGAUACAAUAACAGAGUAAGAGCAAGAGGUAACGGUGUUGCAUCUCCAGUAACAGAAUAAUCCAGUGUGAAACAGUUCCUUUUAAUGCAAAAGUUGUGAUUUCAAGUUUUUAAAAAUCGUGUUUUUCUUGUUUAUAAAGUAAUACAUCCCAUUAGAAAUAUUAGAAAGUUACUAAAAGAGAAUUAAUAUAGGGGCUGAUUCUGGAUAUAAAUUCCAAUUAGAAACAGAUAGUAAGUGGUCCUUCCUAAUUUCUCCUGGAAACUUUCCCUAUUAGGUAAAGAUUCAUACUUUAUUUUUCUAUGUAUAAGGUACUCUAUGCUUUGUUUUACCAGCCUUGAGAAAAAAGGCUUUUUUUAUUCUUUAUUUUAAAAAGCUAUAAAGCAUGUAUUUUUCUUUAAUUCUUUAAUAUAUUUUUGUAGAAAGGUUGAAAAACACAAAAAUGAAUAAAGUUAAAAUUAUUUUUAAUCCCACUAUUGCUAACAUGCUAGUAUUUUGAUGCAUUUAUAUAUAGAUUAUGUAUAUGCAUAUGCAUAUAUGCCAUGUACAUUCCAACGUAUACAUGAAGAAUUAUAACUGCAUGGAAAAUGUUUAUAAUGUAUUGCAAACAGAGAAAAGCAGGAUAAAAAACCUUUUACAUGGCUUGAUCUCUUUAAAAUUCUUCAGCAUCAUGUACUUAAUAACUUCAUGAUAGUUUCCCAUUUGGAUGUGAACUGAUAACCUUUUCAGAAAGGAUGGAACCACUCUUAAUAAAUUCAGGAAAUUCUCUCUAUUAUGAAAUGAGGGGAACUUGUCUACUUAUUGUUUCGUCUCUUCUUGAUAAUUCCAUCUCUUUUUGUAGCACUUUCAAACAUCCAGAGCAUGUAACAGAAAAUUUAUUGCCUGUAGAGGUUUUAGAAUUGGAUACCAAUAUCAAUAUUUUAAUAGUCAAUAUUCAUAAUAUUAACAUCAAUAUUCUGAAGGUAAAAUUAGAAAAUGGAGAGAGUCACAGACUUCCUUCAUAUAGUUAGAACUUCAAAAAUUAAAACAUAGCUGGGAGUGGUGGUUCAUGCCUGUAAUCCUAGCACUUUGGGAGCCUGAGGCAGGAGGAUUUCUUGAAGUCAGGAGUUUGAGACCAGCCUAGGCAAUAUAGUGAGACUUCGUUUUUCUGAAGAAAUUAAAAAAAAAUAGCUGGGUGUGGUGGCACAUGCCUUUAGUCCCAGCUACUUAUGAGGCUGAGGUGGGAGGAUCACUUGAGCUUGGGAGAUCGAGGCUGCAGUGAGCUGUGAUCACACCACUGCACUCCAAUCUGGAUGACACAGUGAGAUCCUGUCUCAAAGAAAAAACAAGAAAAGUAAAAACAGCUUGCUUGUUUCUCUCCCAGUACCUGAUAAAAUAGGAGAUACAUUUCUCUUGACGAUGACAUCUUAGAGUCAUGAUCAAAUACCUCCUUAGUCCUACAACACAAAGAAAUGGAAAAAUAUUCCAUGCUCAUGAAUUGGAAGAAUCAAUAUCCUCAAAAUGGCCAUAGUGCUCAAAGCAAUUACUGGGAAUAAAUCCAAAGGAAAAUAAAUUAUUCUAUCAAAAAGAUGCCUGCAUUUGUAUGUUUAUCACAAUGCUAUUCACAAUAGCAAAGACAUAGAAUCCAUAUACGUGCCUAUCAAUGGUGGAUUGGAUAAAGAAAAAGUGGAUGUGUACACCAUGGAAUACUAUGCAGCCAUAAAAAAGAAUGAAGUCAGGUCAUUGGCAGCAACACGGAUGCAGCUGGAGGCCAGUAUCCUAAGUGAACUAAUGCAGGAACAGAAAACCAAAUACCACAUGUUCUCGUUGAUAAGUGGAGCUAAACACUGAAUACACGUGGACAUAAAGAUAAGAACAGUACACACUAGGGACUACUAGAAUGGGGAGGGGUAGAGCAGGGCAUGGACUGAAAAACUACUUAUUGGGUACUAUGCUCAUUACCAAGAUGAUGGGACAAUUCAUGUCGCAAACCUCAGCAUCAUGCAGUAUACCCAUGUAACAAACCUGCAUAUAUAUCCCUUGAAUAAUAUGUGUGUGUGUGUGUAUAUAUAUAUAUAUAUAUAUAUAUAUAUGUAUAUAUAUAUUUAUUAUUUAGAGUCCUAAACUCUGUGAUUCCCCAAAGCCAGUGCAUAGAUCAAAGUAGCUCCAGACUGACACUUUAGGGAGGCUUUUAAAAAGGACUGAUUCCUGGACCCUGGUUCGGUAUGUCUAGAGUAGGACUGGAAGUCUAUAUUUUAUGAAGUUUCCCAAGUGAUUCUGAUGAAUAAUCCAGUUUGAGAACCACUGCCCUGGGAGCUGUAGUGUAAUCCAAUUAUUUCCUGGCUACUGGAAGGGAAGAGGUGAAGAUGGAGUUCGAUUUAUUGUAUGAAACAUAGGUUCCCCAGAGAGGGUCUCCCUGGAAGACAUUUAAAAAAUCUAUUUCAAAAUAGUUUUUAAUAUUUCAUUGAUUGUCAUUCUAAAGCCAUAGCAAAGAUGAUGAACUUUGCAGGUUACUUCCAACCAUUCAAUUUUAUAAAAUUGUGUGUAGUUCUAUAAAUGUUGCAAUGAUCUUUAGAAAAAAUUUUCCCUCUAGUUAAGAGUGCAUUUACUUCCCACCCAUUAAGCUAAGCAAUCAUGACAUGUUCACACCCCUGAGCACAUUUAGUUCUCGAUAGAAAAUUAGACAUUUAGUUUAUUGUGGGCACUUAAAGUCACUGGAGAUUUUAUGAUGACUUUUAUUUCUCAAAAAAAUCUAUAUUAAACAUAAAACUAAUAUUUAUUUCCUUCAUUUUUAUAUAAUUUGCUUUGUAAAUAUAUAGCCUUUUGUCUAAUCUUACACAAUAAAUGACUUGUUUUGAACAGAUGCCUUACUUUAAUAGGAUCUUAUGUUCUCUCUUUGAAUAUUUUCAUACUUUUUUAAAUUAAAAAAUCACCUUAACCAAAGAUGUAAUGUAUUCUACAAUAUAAAAAGUGCUGUGUCCCAAAUUUUCAGUCAUUGUAACACUCUAGCUAGAGAAAUUACUACUGUAGUGGAAAAUUGAGUUUCAGCUCUACAUCACUUCUGCCUGCUGUGGGGAUCUGUUCUUGUCCAAAACGAGUGGCCCUGGUGAGUCUGUCAAUUAGUAUAUCUACUGCUUUGUUCUCAGGGGUGAGCAUGUGAGCUCAGGUAGACCAGUUAUAACAGCCUAUAGUUCUUGGAGCAGUAAUUGGCUUAGAAAUGAGCAUUAAAAUGAUCAAUCUGAUGUUGGGUGAGAGAAUUAUCCUUUUUAAAAAAAAAAAAAUCCUCCUGAAUUGGCUGAACUGGAAGAAUGUGACUCUAGGUCAAUUAGAAGUAGUUUUUCCCACCAAAUGAUGAGAGUUUGUUUGAAUAAAAAUGUGAGUAUUUGGAGAGAGGCAGAAAAUAGAGAUGGGGAAAGAGACUUAUGAUGUUCUAGAUCUAAUUGCAUUGACUACUGAACUUCCAGCAAUGUGAAGUUCCUGAAUUUGUUUUUUAAGUGAUCUUGAAUUGAAUUGACAAACAAAUUGAAUUGAAUUGCACACACAAAAAAUCUUGACUAAUGCAAUUAUUUUCUUCAUUUUCCAGAUGAGUAAAUUGAAGCCCAGAAAGGCCAAGAAACUUGAACCAUUUAGGUGAAGAAGAGUGCUCACCAGAUUCCCUUCUGGUCUGGAAAAAGAAAUCCCUUCUUUUGUGGAUGUCAUCUCUACCAUCUCUCGGUGAAAAAUAUUUCAAGAGAAUCCUAAGAUGGAGAGAGCAUUGGAAGUCAUCCGGCCCAAUUCCCUUGUGCAAUUCAAAGCUUCUUUGUAAGAAAAAUGCCCCCAGAAGUUUGUUUGCAUCAUGAAGAUCAGAUUUUGAGGAUCCAGUCUGGCUCUUCCCUGUACAAAACAUUCCUCACAAACAGAAUAUGGACAAUUGUUAAAUGUCAAAGGUAAAGUUAUUGUGGGAACUCCUUCAAAAAGUUCAAGUGAGAGCCCAUUCUAUGAAUGACCAUUUACAUCUAAUUUUUUUCUGUGCUAUGUUACUUAUUCUGAAGUGGUUGAUCCAAUUCCUAAAAGGGAAUAUUUCAUUACCUUUUAUUUCCUAUAGCAUCCAUUCUGACCCCUUUUCGGUUUAAUUAUUCCCUGAUUCCAGUCUUCAUUCACUCAUUUAUUUGAGGAAUAUUUAUUGACCAACAACUAUGCCAGGUCCCAUUCUAUGUGUAGGGACUAUAAAGUUGAACAAGACAGAGGAGGUACUGGCCUCAGAAUUUACAUUCUAGUAGAUGAGAAAGUAAAAAUAAACACAUGAAAACAUGAAUGAACCGGAUAUUGUAGACUGUGAUAGGUGUAGUUUGGGUAAAGCACAGAGUGCAGUAGUAAAGAUAAACUGCACUCAGAGUGGGGCUAUUUUAGAUGGAAUGGAGAUCUCUGAGGAAAUGAAAUUUGAGCUGAGACCUAAAAGGUCACCCAAGGACUCAUGGGAAAACUCAGUUGUUUCUAUCAAAAUUUAGCUUCAUGAACUCCAGGCCCUUGCAAAUGAUGGUUACCAGGUGAGAAAUGUCUCACUGGCAACAGAGGUUGGCAGACCCAGCUCCAGUUCCAUCCCAGCCAACAUACCAAUGUCAUUAAAAUAAGGCCAUUCAUCAAGGUGGAGACUAUUACUAGAAACAAGCAUUCUAAAGUGCCAUUUGAGUGCCAGGCUCUCAACACUGGGCGUAGCACUGCUCCAUGAGGCUUUUGAGAGCAUAUACUGAGGCAUGACCAAAAAAAUUAAGUCCCAUGUAAGUGAUGCAACUGCUCCCCAAUUACUGUGGAAGUAUCUGCAGACUAACUAUUGUGCGUGUGUGUUUGUUUGCUUUAAUGAAUAAAUUCAGUCAACCAACCAUCUAGCUAUUGACUAAAUCCAUUCUUUUUCUUCCAAAAUGUCUAUUGGCUGAAGUUUACUGGUUUUUAUUUCUAUUCGCAUACGUAAUUUUCUAAACCCCAUUCUUAUGGAACCUUCUCUAAGUUCCUCUCUAUGGCCCUGUCCAUGUUCAUACGGAUACACAUAAAGACACAAAUACACCAAACUAAGUUUAGAGCAGUCUGGUGCCUGCCUAAGACUUCAGCCUCAUCUCCUGCUUCUACCCUCUUUAGUUUAGGAAAAACAGGUAACGUUGCUGAGUGCCAAGUAUUGUGUUAGUAGCUUUGCAUGCAUUUUUUCAUUUUAUCUUCACAAGUUUCUUCUAUCACCAUGAUCUGUAUGUUUGACCAUGGUGUUUCCUCCACCUGAAAUUCCCUUGGUGCUCUGCCUGGGGAACUGUUACUCAUUCUUCAAAUCUCAACGGAAUGAUCUCCUCCUCUGGAAAGCUCUCCCUACUUCCCUAGGAAGAAGUAAUCCCUUCCUCAGUUCUGCUUUGAUUAUAACUUUAUAAGCACCUAUCACUCUGCAUGGUAUUAGUUCACUGUCAUGUCCAUUUCCUCUAUUGGGAUGUAAAUUGCUUAUGGGUAAUAAUUAGGCUUUGAAUCAUUUUAUGAUCUGGCCUAAGACAGUGCUUGGCACAUACUAUAGGCUCAUCAGAUGAUGGCUGAGUAGAAUUAAAUUGAAUCAAGUUGAAGUUAUACUUUGAUGUUUAUCAAUUAACAUGUGUAGUGUGUUAAAUGGUGGUCACUGAAAACAUACGUCUGCACCCUAAUUCCUGGAACCUGUGAAUAUAACCUUACAUGUUAAGAAGAAAUAUGACCUUAAAUGGAUAUGGAGACAAGGAGCUUAUCCUGGAUUGUCUGAGAGGGCCCUAGAUGCAAUCGCAUGUAUUCUGAUAAGUGGAGAGAAACAGAAGAGGAGGAUGCAAUGUGACCAUGUAGGCAGAAGUUUGAAUGGUGCAGCCACAAGCCAAGGAGCCCCUGGGGCCAUCAGAAGCUGGAAGAAGCAAGGAAUGGAUUCCUUCCUAGUGUUUGGAAGGAGUGUGCACUUGCCAACACCUUGGUUUGAGACUUCUGGCCUCUGGAACUGUGACAGAAUAAAUAUCUGUUGUUUUGAGCCACCCAAUUGUUGCUAAUUUGUUAAAGCAACCUUAGAAAAUUAAUAUAGCAUCCACAAUAAAAUUUCUCAAAAUAUAUGUUCCUGUGAAAUGGAAGAGUUCUAGGGAUCUAGUAGCAUAUACGGAACCCAGAUAAGUUAUACAAGUUUUUCCCUGAAAGUCUUUUCAGAUUCUUUAGCGGGCUAAGGUGCAUUGUGAAUCCCAAAAACUUUAGCGUUUUUCAGCAUCUAUUAUCACAUAAUCCUUUCCCCACCCAUGGAAUUAUAUACUAAACUGUUUUUGUAGAUGUUGAUGUUCUGUAGAACAGAGUUUUGGGGUCUGUAUGACUUAAGAUCCUUCUACAAUGGAACACAGUGAGGAGGGUAUUCAGAGGAGUCAUAGAGGGCAUUGAUCUUGCAAUAUAUACUCAGGAAAUUACCAUGGGCAGAAUAAAAUGCUUUUGAAAAUAUUUAAUGUUUGCUUGGCAUUGUUUCUCUUGGGUUUAGCUUUGCAAAAUUUUCCUCAGGUAUCAUUUUUCUUGUUGCCAUGGAGCCAAUUCACUUCCCAAGGCAAGUUGGUGAUUGGCCUAAGGGAAACUAUUGAGAAAAAAUGGACAGCUCAAGAUGUGGUUUGAAACAUUGAUGUUCUUUCUUGGUGCACUUAACUCUUCUCUCUGCUAUUAUUUUUCUUCUUCACUCUCCUGGAAUCUCCCUCUUUCCCAGUGUAAGUGAGAGUCUAAUAGCUCAUGAUGCAGCUUGGUUUGUUGUGUAUUGAAGUGACCGUAGCUGCAUUUGUUUUGGCAAACCCAUCAUCAUUUGUCUGAGGCAUAACAAUGGCCUCUUUAUUGAUGGUUUAAUCCAGUUCCUGAGGCUGGAUUAAAUAAAUGAGACAAUUGAACCUCAGAUAGGUAAGUGACUUGGCCUUGGUCACCUAGCAAGGCACUGCUAGCCAGACACACAAUCUCACUUAGUAAUUUCUGUCUAGUGCCUCCUACUAGACAGGCCAAGGCCCAGGGCACUGCACUCUGCAUGGGGUGGAAGUAGGGUGUAGCAUUGGAAUGGAGGUAGUGGUAGAAUGCAGUACUUAAAGCCAAGGAGAGAACACUAAAGAAUCCAUAGCCCCAGGAGAAGUAAAGUCAAAGGGAACCAAAAUCCAAAGGCAGUAAUCACCGAGAGGGACUCAGGAGUGAGAGAAAAUUCAUGGACAAGUGGCAGGUCAGAAGCCAGGGAAGUCAGGGCUGCCAGAAAUUUGCAAGCAGCAGGCAGGACCCCUAGUCUUUAUACAACCCUGGUCUUUCUGUAAAAGGCUGGAAAAAAACAGCUUUUUCAAACAUGCUAUAUUCAAAUGUGCCAUAAUUGUUCUGUUUUGAGAAACCAGAAUGGUCUGGCUUUUGUGCAGAAAUAAGGAGAAUAUCAUCCUUUGCUGCUCAAUGAUAAAUGUAUUGCCUGAACCUGAGCCUGGAAGACACUGCCCUACAUGUGCCCAAUGUCUCACAAUGCUUCCUUUGGGCAGUUUAGUUUGGUGUGUGACCUCUGACCUCAAAGUAUCUGAAUAGAAAACAUAACCACACUAGUUCACGCUACCUAUUCCUCUUUCCUCCAAGCAAGUACACUGAAAAUGCUAAGUCCAAACUGUGAAAGAUCUGAGAUAUUACUGUAUUUGCAAGCUACAAAGUUAGCCCUCCACAAUAUGUAUAUAUGCUUAUGUAUAUAUAUUUAUGUGUGUGUGUGCAUGCACACAUGUGUGAGGUGUGUAAUAUAUAUAUAACUUUAUAUCUGACCAAGUUUUGCAUGCCACGUUCUCACAAAGCAACACAAUGAGGGCUUGAUGUCACUGCAUGUGCAGUGGCGUUGGCUCUACAGGAGAAGAGGAACCCUGAAGUUAUAAAGUUUGGAAGUUUAUGGGACAUCCAUCCAUGUUUUCUUCUGGAAAGAGGAAGAAAUAAAUACUUUACUCUUGAAUGGAAAAAAAAAUAUUUUUGUGGAGAAGAGGGGAGGGUUUUUAUUUUGCCACCCUAGACUGUAAACAAACGGUUUCAGGGACAGAAAAAUCCUGAGGUCUCUAUCUUUAGGUUUCAUACUAUGGUCCAAAUAUGUGUGUAUCCUCAAAAUUCAUGCGCUGAAAUCCUAAUCCUAAAGUGACAGUAUUAGAAAGUGGGGCCUUUGGGAGGUGAUUAGAGGAUGAAGGUGGAGGCCUCAUGAAUGGGAUUAGAGUCUUUAUAAAAGGACCUGAAGGAGCUUUUUUACCCUGCCACCAUGUGAGGACACAGUGAGAAGGCACCAUCUAUGAACCAGAAAGCAGAUGCCCUAACCAGACACUGAAUAUGCUGGCGCCUUGAUCUUGGACUCAGCACACAGAACUGUGAGAAAUAAAUUUCUAUUGUUUGUAAGCUACCCAGUCUAUGGUACUUUCUUAUAGCAUCCCAAAUGGACUAAAACAUUUGAUAUUCAGUCAAAUGUUCUUUGUUCAGUGUUGUUUGUUCAUAAAGCUCUGACCAUGAGGAAACAUGAAAAUAUUUGUGGAGCACUGUCUCCCAAUACCAAAACUCAUCGUUUCUCUCUUAAAAAUAAAGGCAUUUCCAGAACAUCAAUAGAUGCUGGGGUAAGUAAAGGAAGGAGAGAAAAAGAAUGAAAAAGGAAUGAAGCUAUUGUACAUAUGAGCAGUGCCUGGGUUCUAGUUAAAUGAGCCUAAAAUGCCUGUUGCUAUCAUGAUAAGUUACACACAUGUCAAUGUGAACUCUCACUAACCAAGGAGAAAACUGAGAUAACUCUUAUUUUCCUCUCUCCCCUCCCCUCCCCUCCCCUCUCCCUCCCUCCCUUCCUUCCUUCUUUCCUUCCUUUUCUCUUUGUUCUUUCUUUCUUUUGAUUUCUUUCUUUUUCUUUCUUUCUUCUUGCUUCUCUAUUUCUUCCUUUCUUUUUCUUUCUUUCUUCUUUCCUUCUCUCUCUAUUUCUUCCUUCUUUCUGCAUCAGAUGGUUAACAAAAUAGACACAGUCUUGGAGCAAGUCUAGAGUGGCACA
rnacentral:lncRNA from 10 species